CCUACGGGAGGCUGCAGUGAGGAAUAUUGGUCAAUGGACGAGAGUCUGAACCAGCCAAGUAGCGUGAAGGAUGACUGCCCUAUGGGUUGUAAACUUCUUUUGUAAGGGAAUAAAACGAGGCACGUGUGCCUGUUUGCAUGUACUUUAUGAAUAAGGAUCGGCUAACUCCGUGCCAGCAGCCGCGGUAAUACGGAGGAUCCGAGCGUUAUCCGGAUUUAUUGGGUUUAAAGGGAGCGUAGAGGGUGUGUUAAGUCAGUUGUGAAAGUUUGCGGCGCAACCGUAAAAGUGCAAUUGAUACUGGCAGUCUUGAGUACAGUUGAGGUAGGCGGAAUGCGUGGUGUAGCGGUGAAAUGCUUAGAUAUCACGAAGAACCCCGAUUGCGAAGGCAGCUUACUAACCUGUGACUGACAUUGAUGCUCGAAAGUGUGGGUAUCAAACAGGAUUAGAUACCCUGGUAGUC
rnacentral:rRNA from 1 species